UAGUCAUAUGCUUGUCUCAAAGACUAAGCCAUGCAUGUCUAAGUAUAAACGUUUUGUACAGUGAGACUGCGGAUGGCUCAUUAAAUCAGUUAUAGUUUAUUUGAUGAUCCCUUUACUACUUGGAUAACCGUAGUAAUUCUAGAGCUAAUACAUGCAAAAAGUCCUGACUAUGGUUUCGGCUAUUGGAAAGGAUGUAUUUAUUAGAUUAAAAACCAAUACAGGCCAAAAGCCUGUUCCUUUUGGUGAUUCAUAAUAACUGAACGAAGCGCAUAGUAGC
rnacentral:rRNA from 1 species